CCUGGUUGAUCCUGCCAGUAGCAUAUGCUUGUCUCAAAGAUUAAGCCAUGCAUGUCUAAGUACAAGCCGCUAGACGGCGAAACCGCGAAUGGCUCAAUAAAUCAGUUAUGGUUCCUUAGAUCCACUCCAUCCUACUUGGAUAACUGUGGUAAUUCUAGAGCUAAUACAUGCACUCGAGCCUCGACUGCGGGCUUUCGGGCUCGCAGAAGAGGUGCUUUUAUUAGAUCAAAACCAGUCGGGGCCGGGCUUUCGGGCUCGCGCACCGUACCAAUUUUGGUGACUCUGGAUAACUUCACGCCGAUCGCACGGCCUUCGCGCCGGCGACGUAUCUUUCAAAUGUCUGCCUUAUCAACUGUCGAUGGUAGGUUACGCGCCUACCAUGGUUGCAACGGGUAACGGGGAAUCGGGGUUCGAUUCCGGAGAGGGAGCCUGAGAAACGGCUACCACAUCCAAGGAAGGCAGCAGGCGCGCAAAUUACCCACUCCCGGCACGGGGAGGUAGUGACGAAAAAUAACGAUACGGGACUCUUCCGAGGCCCCGUGAUUGGAAUGAGUACACUUUAAAUCCUUUAACGAGGAACCAUUGGAGGGCAAGUCUGGUGCCAGCAGCCGCGGUAACUCCAGCUCCAAUAGCGUAUAUUAAAGUUGUUGCGGUUAAAAAGCUCGUAGUCGGAUGUCUGUCUUCGGCCGGGCGGCGCCGCUCUGAAUCAAGGGUGUUGCGUUUCACGCUCUGGGAGCCCGGGUGUCAAAGCCCGACUCUCUUCACGGUCGGACAACAUCGCCGGAGUGGUGGUCGGUGCGUCGUUGUUGUAUCUGCGGCCAGAGUUGGAAAGUUCUUUCGGGUUCUUUUUUAAUUUUGGUCGUAGUUGACUCGAUUCGCUCCACCCAGUCAAUCGUUCGGGGUGCCCUUCACCGGGUGUCUCGGGCGGCCGGCAACGUUUACUUUGAACAAAUUAGAGUGCUCAAAGCAGGUGUAUCCCAACGCCUGAAUAUCGCAGCAUGGAAUGAUGGAAUAGGACCUCGGUCCGAUUUUGCUGGUCUUUUACUUUUGGACCCGAGGUAAUGGUCAAUAGAGACGGACGGGGGCAUUCGUACUGCGGCGACAGAGGUGAAAUUCUUGGACCGCCGCAAGACGAACAACAGCGAAGGCAUUUGCCAAGAAUGUUUUCCUUGAUCAAGAACGAAAGUUAGAGGUUCGAAGGCGAUCAGAUACCGCCCUAGUUCUAACCAUAAACGAUGCCAACCAGCAAUCCGUCGGAGUUACUCCAAUGACUCGACGGGCAGCUUCCGGGAAACCAAAGUCUUUGGGUUCCGGGGGAAGUAUGGUUGCAAAGCUGAAACUUAAAGGAAUUGACGGAAGGGCACCACCAGGAGUGGAGCCUGCGGC
rnacentral:rRNA from 1 species